rnacentral:SRP_RNA from 1 species
CAAGCCACUCGUGCGGCGUCAUCUUACGAACCUCCCCAGGGCCGGAAGGCAGCAAGGAUAAGUGAGCUCUGACGGGUGCACGAGUGGCGCUUCC